rnacentral:rRNA from 1 species
GUCUAUGGCCAUGCCACCCUGAACAAGCCCGAUGUCUGAUCUUGGAAGCUGAUCAGUGUCGGGCCUGGUUAGUACUUGGAUGGGAGACCACCUAGGAAGACCAGGUGCUGUAGGCA